GAUGAACGCUGGCGGCGUGCCUAAUACAUGCAAGUCGAGCGAACGGACGAGAAGCUUGCUUCUCUGAUGUUAGCGGCGGACGGGUGAGUAACACGUGGAUAACCUACCUAUAAGACUGGGAUCACUUCGGGACACCGGCGCUAAUACCGGAUAAUAUUUUGAACCGCAUGGUUCAAAAGUGAAAGACGGUCUUGCUGUCACUUAUAGAUGGAUCCGCGCUGCAUUAGAUAGUUGGUAAGGUAACGGCUUACCAAGGCAACGAUGCAUAGCCGACCUGAGAGAGUGAUAGGCCACAUGGGAGCGUGAACACGGACCAGACGCCUACGGGAGGCAGCAGUAGGGAAUCGUCCGCAGUGGGCGAAAGCCUGACGGAGUAACGCCGCGUGAGUGAUGAAGGUCUUCGGAGCGUAAUACUCUGUUAUUAGGGAAGAACAUAUGUGUAAGGAACUGUGCACAGCGUGACGGUACCUAAUCAGAAAGCCACGGCUAACUACGUG
rnacentral:rRNA from 1 species